CUAUAUAUACCCUGUAGAACCGAAUUUGUGUGAUGAAACCAGAUUCACAGAUUCGAUUCUAGGGGAGUAUAUGGU
rfam:Oreochromis niloticus linkage group LG16-21, whole genome shotgun sequence.